UGUAACUGACGCUAAAGCUCGAAAGUGCGGGUAUCGAACAGGAUUAGAUACCCUGGUAGUCCGCACGGUAAACGAUGGAUGCCCGCUGUUUGCGAUAUACAGUAAGCGGCCAAGCGAAAGCGUUAAGCAUCCCACCUGGGGAGUACGCCGGCAACGGUGAAACUCAAAGGAAUUGACGGGGGCCCGCACAAGCGGAGGAACAUGUGGUUUAAUUCGAUGAUACGCGAGGAACCUUACCCGGGCUUGAACUGCAGCAGAACGAUUCAGAGAUGAUGAGGCCCUUCGGGGCUGCUGUGGAGGUGCUGCAUGGUUGUCGUCAGCUCGUGCCGUGAGGUGUCGGCUUAAGUGCCAUAACGAGCGCAACCCCUUUCGUCAGUUGCCAUCAGGUUAAGCUGGGCACUCUGGCGACACUGCCACCGUAAGGUGUGAGGAAGGUGGGGAUGACGUCAAAUCAGCACGGCCCUUACGUCCGGGGCUACACACGUGUUACAAUGGGUGAUACAGAGCGUCGGCGCUUGGCAAUAAGCGUCCAAUCGUGAAAGUCAUCCUCAGUUCGGAUUGGGGUCUGCAACCCGACCCCAUGAAGCUGGAUUCGCUAGU
rnacentral:rRNA from 1 species